CCUACGGGAGGCAGCAGUGGGGAAUAUUGGGCAAUGGGCGCAAGCCUGACCCAGCAACGCCGCGUGAAGGAAGAAGGCCCUCUGGUUGUAAACUUCUUUUAUCAGGGACGAAACAAAUGACGGUACCUGAUGAAUAAGCCACGGCUAACUACGUGCCAGCAGCCGCGGGAAUACGUAGGGGGCAGGCGUUAUCCGGAUUUACUGGGUGUAAAGGGCGUGUAGGCGGGAGAGCAAGUCAGACGUGAAAGUCCAGGGCUCAACCCUGGAACUGCGUUUGAAACUGUUCUUCUUGAGUGAUGGAGAGGCAGGCGGAAUUCCGUGUGUAGCGGUGAAAUGCGUAGAUAUACGGAGGAACACCAGUGGCGAAGGCGGCCUGCUGGACAUUAACUGACGCUGAGGCGCGAAAGCGUGGGGAGCAAACAGGAUUAGAUACCCCUGUAGUC
rnacentral:rRNA from 1 species